GAAGGAGAAGAAGAAGAAGAAGAAGAAGAAGAUGAUGAUGAUGAUGAAGAAGAAGAAGAAGAAGAGGAGGAGGAGGAGGAGGAGAAGAAAAAAUAAGAAGCAGAAGAAGAAAAGAAGAAGAGAAGAAGAUAAGAAGAAGAUAAGAAGAAAAAAUAAGAAGGAGAAGAAGAGAAAAAAGAAGAAUUGAAGAAUAAGUAGAAGAAG
rnacentral:lncRNA from 1 species